GCAGCCGCCGCGGGAAUACGUAGGGUGCGAGCGUUAAUCGGAAUUACUGGGCGUAAAGCGUGCGCAGGCGGUUGUGUAAGACAGGUGUGAAAUCCCCGGGCUUAACCUGGGAACUGCGCUUGUGACUGCACAGCUAGAGUAUGGCAGAGGGGGGUGGAAUUCCACGUGUAGCAGUGAAAUGCGUAGAGAUGGGGAGGAACACCGAUGGCGAAGGCAGCCCCCUGGGCCAAUACUGACGCUCAUGCACGAAAGCGUGGGGAGCAAACAGGAUUAGAUACCCCCGUAGUCCCUGUCUCUUAUAC
rnacentral:rRNA from 1 species